rnacentral:lncRNA from 1 species
CAUUCAGAAGAUGUUUUAAUUGAAGGGAGGAACAUGUACAAAGUUGAUAAGAAAAUUUAGGGGAAACACAGAGAAAAGAAAAGACAUAUUACUACACAUUUCAUGAGAAUGGACCAGAGAUCAUGAAUCAUUUGUAUGGCAUAUACAUAACUUUAAUGAUCAUUUGUAUGGCAUAUACAUAACUUUACUGUUGGGAUUACAAUUAACAUCAUCAUCCAACAAAAUGAAAAACCUCGUCUUUCGAAGAAUCUGAUGUCGAAGACGAGUGUGAAUAAC